GGCCACCGCUGAUCGAAAUGGUAAACGAGGACAAUACCAGAAGUUGUUCAGCUUGGCAGAUGGCUUUCGACCUUAUGUGAUGCCCCGGGGUUGCUUUCGGCGCCUUUAAAGAACAAUCAGACCAUCAACCUAAGCUCCGCCGUCGUUCUCAUCUGUACAUGUCCUGCAUAGAAAGCCUGACAGAGCUAUCAUCAAUCUCGACUGCUCCGCCGACGGUAAGCCUCGUCCCACCGUGGUUUGGCUGAAGAAUGGCAAGCCUUUCUUUAAACGUGACGGGGUGGAGCUGUCCCUUCGUCCUUACCAGUAUGUGCUCCGCUUGAGGGGCGUGGUUUCAAGUGAUAACGGACAGUACACAUGUAAUGUGUCAAACUCAUGUGACUGGAUAAGUCGCACCUUCACGGUGCAUGUUAAAAAACGAGAGCCGUCAAAACCAUUAAUACAAAUUAUACCCAACGUGACGGCACGUAAUGGAGAUAACGUGACACUGAAGUGUAACGCAAUGAGUGACUCCAUGCCCCGCUUCCGAUGGCUUAUACUUACCUCACCACAAAAUGCGUCAUCUUUGAUAAACGAAACGCCAAAUCACUAUAAGGUAAUCAAGCAGUCACGGCACGCGGACUAUAUUGUAAGGAUAAAGCACGACAGAUGGCGAGUUCUUCAUGUUUAUAAACUGAUGCUUGUCAACGUUGGUCAGAAGCACGUGGGAAUGUACACGUGCAAUGCUAGCAACACACAUGGCUUCUCCCUGCGUCACACCUUUCUUACCGUGGCAUCAUCAUCAACACAAGAUAUAACCACGCCUAUUCGCAGAAGUAGACCAACCGAAGAAACGUCGACAGCAACAAGGACCGUGAAAACACAACACUCGCAAUCAAAGGACGUGUUCAACUACAAAUCAAGAGCUGCAGUGCAUGUUAUCAACGAUAUUAGGAUGGUUCUUUACAAGGAUUUCGUCGCACUUUUUACGGUCUUAUGGGUGUUAACUUAGAGAAUAGUAAAGUUUAUUUUUAAUAAAGUAGUUAGGGCUCUGUA